rnacentral:rRNA from 1 species
AUUGAACGCUAGCGGCAUGCUUUACACAUGCAAGUCGAACGAGUGGCGGACGGGUGAGUAAUAUAUGGGAAAGUGCCCAAUAGAGGGGGAUAACUACUCGAAACGGUGGCUAAUACCGCAUACUAUUAGAUCUGCCCAUAUCGGAUUAGCUAGUUGGUGGGGUAAAGGCUCACCAAGGCAACGAUCCGUAGCUGGUUUGAGAGGAUGACCAGCCACACUGGGACUGAGACACGGCCCAGACUCCUACGGGAGGCAGCAGUGGGGAAUAUUGGACAAUGGGGGAAAGCCUGAUGCAGCCAUCCCGCGUGUAUGAGAAGGCCUUCGGGUUGUAAAGUACUUUCGGCAGAGAAGCGGUAUCUGCAGAAGAAGCACCGGCUAACUACGUGCCAGCAGCCGCGGUAAUUC